rnacentral:tRNA from 1 species
GGGAACGUAGCUCGGUGGUAGAGCGCUUGCCUAGCAUGCAUGAAGCCCUGGGUUCAAUUCCUCAAUACCA